UACGUCCGGGGUAGGAGUGAAAUCCCGUAAUCCUGGACGGACCACCGAUGGCGAAAGCACCUCGAGAAGACGGAUCCGACGGUGAGGGACGAAAGCUAGGGUCUCGAACCGGAUUAGAUACCCGGGUAGUCCUAGCUGUAAACGAUGCUCGCUAGGUGUGACACAGGCUACGAGCCUGUGUUGUGCCGUAGGGAAGCCGAGAAGCGAGCCGCCUGGGAAGUACGUCCGCAAGGAUGAAACUUAAAGGAAUUGGC
rnacentral:rRNA from 1 species